rnacentral:sRNA from 1 species
AUUCUGCCCAUGCGGGGAAGGAUGAGAAGCUUCGACUAAGGUUCGGCUCGAGCGUCAGCGAGAGAGCGUUGCCGCAGGCAACGACCCGAAGGGCGAAGCGCGCAGCGCUGAGUAAUCCUU